rnacentral:rRNA from 1 species
GACGAACGCUGGCGGCGUGCCUAAUACAUGCAAGUAGAACGCAGUUGCGAACGGGUGAGUAACGCGUAGGUAACUGCCUGGUAGCGGGGGAUAACUCUUGGAAACGAUAGCUAAUACCGCAUACUACCAGAUGGACCUGCGUUGUAUUAGCUAGUUGGUGGGGUAACGGCUCACCAAGGCAAAGAUACAUAGCCGGCCCGAGAGGGGUGACGGCCACACUGGGACUGGGAAACGGGCCAGACUCCUACGGGAGGCAGCAGGAGGGAAACUUCGGCAAUUGGGGGAACCCUGACCGAGCAACGCCGGGUGGGUGAAGAAGGGUUUCGGAGCGUAAAGCUCUGGUGUUAAGGGAGCGGUACUUAACCAGAAAGGGACGGCUAACUACGUGCCAGCAGCCGCGGUAAUUC